rnacentral:rRNA from 1 species
GAUGAACGCUAGCGGCAGGCUUAACACAUGCAAGUCGAGGGGUAUUGGUUUUCGGACCAAGAGACCGGCGCACGGGUGCGUAACGCGUAUGCAAUCUACCUUUUGCAGAGGGAUAGCCCCAGAGAAAUUUGGAUUAAUACCUCAUAGUAUAGUACUUUGGCAUCAAGGAACUAUUAAAGUCACAACGGCAAAAGAUGAGCAUGCGUCCCAUUAGCUAGUUGGUAAGGUAACGGCUUACCAAGGCUACGAUGGGUAGGGGUCCUGAGAGGGAGAUCCCCCCACACUGGUACUGAGACACGGACCAGACUCCUACGGGAGGCAGCAGUGAGGAAUAUUGGACAAUGGGCGCAAGCCUGAUCCAGCCAUGCCGCGUGCAGGAUGACGGUCCUAUGGAUUGUAAACUGCUUUUAUACAGGAAGAAACACUCCGACGUGUCGGAGCUUGACGGUACUGUAAGAAUAAGGAUCGGCU